UACGUAGGGUGCAAGCGUUGUCCGGAAUUAUUGGGCGUAAAGAGCUCGUAGGCGGCCUGUUGCGUCCGCUGUGAAAGCCCGGGGCUUAACCCCGGGUCGGCAGUGGAUACGGGCAGGCUAGAGGUAGGUAGGGGAGAAUGGAAUUCCCGGUGUAGCGGUGAAAUGCGCAGAUAUCGGGAGGAACACCAGUGGCGAAGGCGGCGAUCUGGGCAGAUACUGACGCUGAGGUGCGAAAGCGUGGGGAGCAAACAGG
rnacentral:rRNA from 1 species